AAGUAUAGUUGAUUUACAAUGUUCCUUCCAUUUCCGAGGUACAAUAAAGUGACCCCGCCACCCAUACACACCCAUCCUUCCCAACACACACACCACGGGAACCAUUUUUAAGAAAGUGUUGUCACCAGCAAUGCCUUCUCGCCACCGACAAUAUUCCUCUCUCUCAUCUAUUUCACCCCUCUCUUGUGUUCUUGCUGAUUAUUCCACCCAAACAGAGUCAAAAACAGCUAAAACUAAAGUAUAUCUCGGACAAUUUGCUACUUUAGAGCAACCUCUGAGGCUUUCUUUCACGGAGAGUGUCCUAACACUGAUGGGUCGUUUUGUUAUAAGGAGAGAGAAUGGCAGCCAGGUGUUGGGGGAUGAGGGCAGAGGAAGGAACGGAGCAAGAUGUACAAGCUGAGUCAAGACUAAAUAUAAACAUAGGAGCUUAUAUGGAUACAAAACGUGAGCUUCUAGCAGUGAUUCGACUUACGCCAUCUCAAUUCACCCUGGCUGGAUUUCAACUAGUCUAUUCUACAAGUACUUCCACAUGAAGAAGUAGGAAAUGAUACAGAUGAGUCUAAGACACAUGGCCUACUUUUGCUUCUCCUCUAUUAUACUAAUCAUCCCUAAAUAUGAUUUAUCAAUCCCUUUUAUGCCAGAGAGCCCUUUUGAUUCCUCUUAAAAGCCAUCUCAUGGAAAACUCAGUAAUUAAUGUUUGGAAGCAAUGCUAGAGUCAGAAGGUCACAGUGUCACAUAUACUUUCCUUCAAUACAUUAGGUAUGUUUCUAUACAUCCUGCUGUUCAGCAUGAGCAACAGGACAGCAAACUUGAAACGACAAAAAUAAAACAUACAGAAAAUACAGUAGGUGCAAGAUCAGAGAUGAAUGUUAUAUUUCAUCCCAAACACUAUCAGCACUGAUAAAUUUCCCUUAGUGUACUCAGGUCUAAACAGUUGCGGGUUCGAUCCCUGGCCUUGUUCAGUGGGUUAAGGAUCCGGCGUUGCCAUGAGCUGUGGUGUAGCUCGCAGACGCAGCUCAGAUCCUGAGUGGCUGCGGCUGUGGUGUAGGCUGGCGGCUACAGCAUCGAUUCCACCCCUAGCCUGGGAACCUCUAUGUGCUGCUGGAGCAGCCCUAGAAAAGGCAAAAAGACAAAAGAAAAGAAAGAAAAGAAAAGAAAAUCCCACAUACAAGCACAUCUCUACCAAGGCUGAAGAUAUUACAAAUGUAAAACUGAACUUAUAACAUUCUGUAAGAAUAGUUUGUAAUCCAUCCGUUCUCAUCUGUCAAUCCUAACUUGCCCCAAACUUCAUUCUUAGCCUUUCCAAUUGCAUGGGCUCAAUUUCACGUCCCACACCACUAUGUAUCAGCUAAGUAAGCAUGCACAAACUGUGGUUUUCAUACCUACCAACCUGGGAUAAGAGCAGGCUGAUGUGUCAUAAGCACAUUUCUGGUAUGACUCUCUGUGAUUUAUUAAAACCAGCUUACUGUUUUGGUGAUUUUGUUUGCCCAUUUAUUGUAUAAUAUCUUUGAUAUGAUGAUUUAUCUUCUAAAAUUACUUAAAGGAAACAACUUUUCACUAGCUUUUUAAAUUCUUUCUUCCUCCUUGUUUGAAAUACUGGAAGAUAUACUGAACUCCUAUCUCUAAAUCAGUUGAGAAAUAUACUGCUCAACUACUAAUAAAAUAAAUACUUAUCAGGUAACUAAGGUUUUUUUAAAUGAUGAUAGGAUCACUUAAACUAAUAAAAAGAAAAUGCUGAAAUGCUUUAUAAAUUCCAAAAGUACAUCCCAGUUACAUAAUAGAAUCUGAGGUGCAGGAGAAAAACCAACAACAUGGCACCAUUCAGAUAAUCAAUAAGAGGGAGAUAAAGUGAUUUUUACAAAAGGCCAAUGAUUUGAAGCCAUAUUUCAGAAAUUAUAUUUUCAUUUUAAAAUUAAGACCCUUAAUUAUGCUUAAAAACAUAAGACACUUAAAAUGCUUAAAAAUACAUGGAAAAUUUGAUUUCUAAAUACACAUUUUUUAAAGUAUUUUAUAAAUAUAAGAAAAAUUUUUAUUAAACCUGAAGUUACAUACAUUUCUUAACUUACCAGCCAGCUUUGCUGCAUUCAAGUCUUAAAUGUAAUUUUCAUCUACAUUCUAAAAUCUCCAUCUGUAAGUCUACAUUUAUCUGUAGAUAUAACAAAUAUUACUUGUUAGAGCCUCUAAAUAUUAAAAAUAGAAGCUGAAAAUUCCCCUCUAGCUCGAUCAUUCCAUGAUUCUAGAAUAUCUAAGUCUAUGAAAAUCCAACACACUUGAUGGUUGAUGGAGAAGCAACAUGGACAAUGAUAAUCAAAGAACCUCACUACCUUUAGGACCAUAACUUUAAAAUAACUUUGAAAGCAUUCAUUAAAAACUAAUCAGAAAUAGGAAUGGCUCAGUGAGUUGAGUAUUUAGUGUUGUCACUGCAAUGGCUCCGGUCACUGCU
rnacentral:lncRNA from 1 species